GUUUGGGAAGCCGCCGAAGCGAGCUCAUGCUCGAUUUUUGCUGCUUCCUAACAAUCUGCUGGCACUCUUUGGCUCAGACUGCGUCUUUGGCCCCACACCGCGGGGAGGCUAAGAGUGAGUGUGAGACAGAGGGAGAGUGAGAGGGAGAGAACCGGAGAGUGAGGCUAAACGUGAGUGAAAAAGGGGGAAAGUCUGGGAAAGACUGAGAGGAAAAAUGCUCGGGGAGGGGGGCCGAGUCAGAAAAAUAGGCAGAUAUGUAACACCAAAAACACUUAGAAAAUAAUCCUCCCUUCGUGCCCCUGGUACCACAGUGCUUUCCUAUGGAGCCAGGCUAGAGGGCGCGGGGAGGCUAAGAGUGAGUGUGAGACAGAGGGAGAGUGAGAGGGAGAGAACCGGAGAGUGAGGCUAAACGUGAGUGAAAAAGGGGGAAAGUCUGGGAAAGACUGAGAGGAAAAAUGCUCGGGGAGGGGGGCCGAGUCAGAAAAAUAGGCAGGUUGGUGGCAAAUGAAAAAAAAAUGGAGAAAUUGCCAGAUAUGUAACACCAAGAACA
ensembl:lncRNA